rnacentral:lncRNA from 1 species
ACCCAUGCUAUUCAUUCUCGCCAUCGACCCACUGCAAAAAAUGCUUGAUCUCGCAACUCAGAACGGUAUCCUUACACCGCUGCCACUAGCUAAAGCAAAACUGCGUACUUCUCUUUAUGCCGAUGACGCUGCUAUCUUCCUAAAUCCAAAUCGAGGAAUUGCAAGCAGUAAAGGACAUGCUCCAAAUGUUUGGCAAAGUCACGGGUCUAAUCACAAACUUGGAAAAAAGUUCAAUCCACCCAAUUCACUGUGAAAAAUUGAUCUGGAUCAUGUUCUUGAACUGUUCCUAGGUGCCUGCGAUACCUUCCCGUGCCGCUACCUUGGUCUGCAGCUUCACACUCGCUCCCUGCAAAAAGUGCACGUACAACCCCUCAUUGAAAAGAUUGGUAAUCGUCUUCCAAGAUGGAAAGGACGGCUUCUCAACUGCGCAGGGAGACUUACUUUGGUUCAAUCAGUGCUCUCCUCCAUGCCGACUUAUCAUCUAACUAUCUUCCCGCUAGCAGUCUGGGCAAGGAAACAAAUUGACAAAAUUCGUCGUUCAUUCCUUUUGAAAGGCAAUGAUAACGCCAACGGCGGUCACUGCUUGGUGAACUGGCCAACUGUGAGCAAGCCUAAGGACAUGGGCGGUCUAGGAGUGACUGACCUAGACAAAUUCGGCAGAGCUCUGCGCGUGCGAUGGCUUUGGCAAGAAUGGACUGAUGAUCAUAAGCCAUGGUCUGGUACAGACAUCCCAUGCAAUGGAGUGGAAGAUUUUUCUUCAACGCCUCCACUACUGUUUCCAUUGGCAAUGGAAAGAAGGCGAAGUUCUAGCAUCAUAGCUGGCUUGAUGGCGACGCCCCACGAAACCUUGCACCCUAUCUCUUUGCUUUGGUCAAAAGAAAAAAAAAUAAGAUGGUCGAGCAAGAAUUGAAUAAUAGCGCCUGGAUCAAAACAUUUCACUGCAAAAUAACAACCGCCACACAUGUGGAGCAAUUUGUCUCUCUAUGGAUCAGGAUUCAACAAGUGCAUCUACAACCUGAGAAGGAGGACCAAAUCAAAUAGAAAUGGACAAUUGAUGGAAAGUACUCUGCUUGAUCAGCCUACCGAGCUCAAUUUAUUGGGACAUACAAUCAGCAUCAAACCAAACUAAUAUGGCAAGCACAUACUGAGAACAAAUGCAAAUUGUUUGCUUGGAUACUAAUACAGAACAAGAUCCUUACCUCAGACAACCUAGCACUCAGAGGAUGGCCACACCAGAACUCGUGU